rnacentral:misc_RNA from 1 species
GGGUCAGUUCAAAGGGUCAAGGGGACUCUUCUCUCUGUCAAACAGUUGAGGAGGGAAAAGAUAAUUAAUUUUUUUUUUUGUUAAUUAAGGACGAGUGCUGAUUGUGUAUUUACUUGAUGUAUCAUGUAAUGUAAAUCCAGUUUAUAUUUCUGAUAAUUAAGAACGAGUGUUAAUUGAGUAAUUAUGCGCUGCCAGGGAUUAAGGAUGUUAAAGGCUCAGCCACAUGUCAUAGCUUUUUAUCAAUAAUAUGAUUUUGAAUGUGGGCUAUUCAGUUGUUUCCCUUUGUUUUAAAUAAAACUGAUAUGACAGU